rnacentral:ncRNA from 1 species
GAUCGUGAAGAGUCCGACUUUGUGAGAUGACUCCGGUGCAGCAUUGAUCUUGAAAUACCACUAAGCUUAAUGCCACUUUACUUAUUCUGUGACACUGAAACUUGCAUCAUGCGAGCCUUUGUCAUAAUGUUGCCUCUUUUGGCGCUGAUCUGUGCGGAAGGCAUAGUCAGGGGGUUUGGCUGGGGCGGCUCAUCUGUUAAAUGAGAACGCAGGUGUCCUAGGACCAAAGGGGAAAAGCUGGCUUGCUUCUGAUUGUCAGGACGAAUACAAACUGUGAGAACAUGGGCUGUGAUCUUUUAGGUCUGAGAAAUAUUCAGCAAAAUAAUCAGUACGACACC